rnacentral:rRNA from 1 species
AUUGGACGCUGGCGGCAGGCCUAACACAUGCAAGUCGAACGAGUGGCGGACGGGUGAGUAAUGUCUGGGAAACUGCCCGAUGGAGGGGGAACACCACUGGAAAAGGUAGCUAAUACCGUAUUCUAUCCGUUGCGCCCAGAUGGGAUUAUCUUGUAGGGGGGGUAACGGCUCCCCUAGGCGACGAUCCCUAGCUGGUCUGAGAGGAUGACCAGCCACACUGGAACUGAGACACGGUCCAGACUCCUACGGGAGGCAGCAGUGGGGAAUAUUGCACAAUGGGCGCAAGCCUGAUGCAGCCAUGCCGCGUGUGUGAAGAAGGCCUUCGGGUUGUAAAGCACUUUCAGCGGGGAGGCGUUACCCGCAGAAGAAGCACCGGCUAACUCCGUGCCAGCAGCCGCGGUAAUAC